UGGGGAAUAUUGGACAAUGGGCGAAAGCCUGAUCCAGCCAUGCCGCGUGAGUGACGAAGGCCUUAGGGUUGUAAAACUCUUUCGUCGGGGACGAUAAUGACGGUACCCGAAGAAGAAGCUCCGGCUAACUUCGUGCCAGCAGCCGCGGUAAUACGAAGGGAGCUAGCGUUGUUCGGAAUCACUGGGCGUAAAGCGCACGUAGGCGGAUAGUUAAGUCAGGGGUGAAAUCCUGGGGCUCAACCCCAGAACUGCCUUUGAUACUGGCUGUCUCGAGGUCGAGAGAGGUUGGUGGAAUUCCUAGUGUAGAGGUGAAAUUCGUAGAUAUUAGGAAGAACACCAGUGGCGAAGGCGGCCAACUGGCUAGAUACUGACGCUGAGGUGCGAAAGCGUGGGGAGCAAACAGGAUUAGAUACCCCCGUAGUCCCUGAGCGGGCUGGCAAGGCGCAU
rnacentral:rRNA from 1 species